CGAAUCUUUAUUCUUUUGGAAAGAAGAAAGAAUCACAAAGUUGUUGAGGUUAAUUCACUUAAAUGUUAGUGGCAUUUGUCCACAAACAUAAUACUACUCAUGUUGUAUGACAUUCACUGAAGAACACUCUCGGUUGGACUAUAGUUUAUUUUGAAUAAACACAAGUCCGAAUACUUUGCAAAAUGUUUCAAAGAAUUCAAGAAAUGUAAGUUGAUGAGUAAGACGUCUAAAGUAUUUACCUCUUUAGAUUUGAUCCAAGAUAAGGUAACACUUUAGAACAGUUUCUUUGAAAGAUAUCAAGGAAAUAAGCAUCAUAAGAUAAUGUAUUUCUCCAUUAGGAGAAGAACGAACUUGAAUAAGAUUUAGUUCGUUAGAUAUUAUCUAUUACCCAUAUAUAGGAUAUAUACUUCUAAAACAAUAUGAUUGUCAAUGAGAAGAUCUUCCAAUAUUUUCAUGACUCCAUAAGAUGUAGUUGGAAAGAAAGACAAAUCUUAAGCAUGUUAAAGAUUUGGGGUUGUGUGCUAACAAGCAAUAUUUGUUUGAUAAUAAUCUUGUAGGAUAUCCUUAAAAUAACUUUUGGAUAUCGCUUCUAUAAACCAACUAACAAAUGUUGUUU
rnacentral:lncRNA from 1 species